rnacentral:sRNA from 1 species
AUUUAAUCUUUAAUAAAAUAAUUUGUUAUUUCCUUACACAGAUCAAAUUGGUAGCAAAGCUCCAAAUAUUGGGAGCCCUAUUUCCACUGGAAUUGGUGAAAGGAACUGUUUCAUUUUAUUAGUAAAAGACCUAGAAAAGAACAGUCACUAAGACAAAAGCUAGGUAAGCAGGAAGAAGAGGCUAGAAAAGGCCAGGCAAGUGGCUCUCCAUCUAUAGGAAGAUUGUGUCCAGGGUUUGGUAAUCUAAGUUCUAGUCAACUCAUAUUAGCCUGUGCUUUAUUACAAGUAGUCACUCCUCGUUUCUAUUUAACAGUACAUCAAUCUUAAGUCACGGUCAUAUCUCGCCCCCCAAUAUAGCAACCAACACCAUGUCCAAAUUUCAUCAUAUUAAUAGCAGCCAAAUCCUCUGUUCGUUACUGUGGUUAGUAGUGGGUUAGAAAGGUGCACCUCACAUCACAUUGUAAUAACAACACUGCCAGUUACACCGUUCAACUUGUGUAGAACACGUACCUCUGGCAACGCUCACUCGCCAUUGCCACUGAUAGGGUUGUCAAGACCUCUUAAACCCAUUCCAAGUGAAGGUAACACACAAGCAGGAGGAUUAUCAAUUCAAACUAAACUCUUCAUCAGCAAAUAGAUGAAAGGUCAAAGAGGACAGAACAGAUAUACUUUCUUUCAGUUUCAUUUUACGGUCUGCUAUUUAGACUCAACAAAAUGCUCAAUUUAUUAUGAAUAACUAGAGCUUACCUGGCCAAGCCUUCUUCGUCAGAAUUGCCAAACAGCAAGGAGAGGGAGUAAGCCAGAGGAAGGGAGAAGAGGCUUAC